AUGUUAUAUUGGUUUCACUGGUAAUAAUAAAUAAUUGAAAUAGGUAUAUAUUUGUUUUUUGUUAAGUUGCCUAAUAAUUAUGCACAGUAAUAGUCACCUGCGCACACAGAUAUCCCCCUAACAUAGCUAAAACUAAAAACAAACUAAAAACUACUUCCAAAAAUAUUCAGCUUUGAUAUUAAUGAGUUUUUUGGGUUCAUUGAGAACAUGGUUGUUGUUCAAUAAUAAAAUUAAUCCUCAAAAAUACAACUUGCCUAAU
rnacentral:lncRNA from 1 species